AUAGCUGCCAAAGGGUUUUAGUCCAUCACCAAGUUUGACCUGGCCUUAGCCAUACCAGAAAGUGUGGUGAACUCUGCCUCAUAUAAUGUGGAUGCUGGGUACAGAGCUAUCAUCUUUGACCGAUCCCAUGGAGCACACAACACCGGUAGAGACAGGGACUCACUUUCUCAUCCCCUGGGUACGGAAACCAAUGAUCUUUGACUUUCACUCUUGACCACACAACAUGCCAAUCAUCACUGGUAGCAAAAAUUUACAGAAUGUCAGUGUAACUGCACAUCCUCUUCCAGCCUGUCUCUAGCCAGCUUCCUCACAUCUUCAUCAGUAUCAGAGAGGACUAUGAUGAGCAUGUGCUGCCACCUAUCAUCACAGAAAUCCUCAAGUCAGUGGUGACUUGCUCUGAUGCUGGAGAACAAAUCACCCCGAGGGAGCUGGUCUCCACACAGGUGAGUGAUGGACUUACGGAGUGAGCAGCCACCUUUGGGUUUAUCCUGGAUAACGUGUCCUUGAUGCAUCUUACCUUCAGGAGGAGUCACAGAAGUGGUGGAAGCCAAACACAUGGCUCAGCAGGAAGCAGACAGGGCCAGAAUUGUGGUGGAAAAGGCUGAGCAGCAGGAACAGGAGGUCAUCAUCUCUGCCAAGGGUGACUCCAAGGCAGCUUAGCUGAUUGCCAACUCACUGGCCACUGUGGGUGACAGCCUGAUUGAACUGUGCAAGAUGGAAGUCACAGAGGACAUUGAGUACCAGCUCUCACACUCUCAGGACAUCAUUUACCUGCUGCCAGGGCAGUCAAUACUCCUCCGGGUGCCCCGGU
rnacentral:lncRNA from 1 species